UACGGAGGGUGCAAACGUUGUUCGGAAUUAUUGGGCGUAAAGCGCACGCAGGCGGCCUGUAGGGUCGGGUGUGAAAGCCCGGAGCUUAACUCCGGAAUUGCACUCGAAACCGGCAGGCUUGAAUCUAGCAGAGGAAGGUAGAAUUCCUGGUGUAGGGGUGAAAUCCGUAGAUAUCAGGAGGAAUACCAAUGGCGAAGGCAGCCUUCUGGGCUUAGAUUGACGCUGAGGUGCGAAAGCGUGGGUAGCAAACAGG
rnacentral:rRNA from 1 species